AAACUGGAGACACAGCAAACCAUCAUCCAGACACACAACACAUUUUCACUAUGACUUUAACAGCAUGUAUACUGUUUCUGAUGGUAUCACUGAUUUCUGGUGUUUGCAGUCAGACUCUGACCGAGUCUGAACCAGUGGUGAAGAGGCCGGGAGAAUCCCACAAACUGACCUGUACAUAUGCAGGAAUAUCAGAUGACGAUGCUGAUAUAGGCUGGAUCAGACAAGCUGAAGGAAAAGGACUGGAGUGGGUUGCCUACAUUUCUGCUCCGAGUGGAAGCACUAAAGCUUAUUCCACAUCAGUCCAGAAUCGCUUCACCAUCUCCAGAGACAACAACGUGGACCAGGUGUAUCUGCAGAUGAACAGCCUGACAACUGAAGACUCUGCUGUUUAUUAUUGUGCUCGACAGCCACAGUGGCACAGGAAGCCACAGAGCCGUACAGAAACCACUACAGACAGUCACUGAUAGAAAAUAAAACCACUUUGUUCAAGUUGUUUUUAAAAUAACCCCGAAUUCAGAGUCCUUGAUCAAUCUCCACACUGUGCUGCUCUCUCAUCAGGAUGAUCAUCUCUUCUAGUGAGGCUGAGCAGAAAUGUAUCUGUAAGAACAAUAACAUUAUCUUAGCCUUUCUUGACUCAAUGUAGACUGAUGGCUUCCAAAUGGACCAAAUUUAAAGGAGCUCUAAAUUAAACAUUCAUCAUUGCUGUGAUGUUUCAAUUUGUAUUUAUCAGCGUGAUAACAACAUUAAUUAAUUAAUGUCAUUAAUUAUAUCACAUUUGUCAUUGUUUCUUUAAAUCUGUUUUUCCUUGAGAAGUUUAAAAUGUUUUCCUAAAUAUCGUAUACUUAUACUUACAAUUACUGUUGUUGAUUAAACAAUAGCUUUUUUUAAAUUAAAAUAACAGAUUUUGAAGACAGCUAAAUCCUAUAUUAAAAUCAAUUUAAUCGGUUGGUGUUGCAUUAAAAAAUAGAAAAUAAAAAUGAAAAGAAAUAACCUAAAAACACUGAUAAACUGGUUGAAAAACAAAGUUACACUCACACAAUAUUUCUAUUUGGAAUAUGAGAUUGUGUUUAUAAUUUUUAAUGAGCAGAUAAAUGUUAGUUCAUUAGUAGUUUAAUGUAACAGCACAUAUGCAAAUGUUAUCUUAGAGUAAAUCUUUCUUUCUUAAAAAGUUUUUUUCGUUCUUUUCUCUCUACCUUUCUUGGUCUCUUGAGAUGACAGUGUUUAAUUGAUUUAAAUAAAAGAUUAUUCAAGAUGCAAAUAAAGGUUACUUAUAA